rnacentral:rRNA from 1 species
GACGAACGCUGGCGGCGUGCUUAACACAUGCAAGUCGAACGGAGUGGCGAACGGGUGAGUAACACGUGGGUGAUCUGCCUUGCACUUCGGGAUAAGCUUGGGAAAAUGGGUCUAAUACCGGAUAGUGCAAGAUGAGCUCGCGGCCUAUCAGCUUGUUGGUGGGGUAAGGGCCUACCAAGGCGUCGACGGGUAGCCGGCCUGCGAGGGUGUCCGGACACAUUGGGACACGGAUGCGGCCCAGACUCCUACGUGAGGCAGCAGUGAGGAAGAUUGCACAAUGGGCGGAGGCCUUAUGCAGCGACGCCGCGUGGGAGAUGAAUGCCUUCGGGUUGUAAACUCCUUUCGACAGGGACGCGGUACCUGUAUAAGAAGCACCGGCUAACUACGUGCCAGCAGCCGCGGUAAUAC